rnacentral:tRNA from 1 species
CGGGGAGUGGCGCAGCCCGGUAGCGCAACGGUCUGGGGGACCGGAGGUCGCGUGUUCGAAUCACGUCUCCCCGA